rnacentral:rRNA from 1 species
GGCGCAAGCCUGAUGCAGCCAUGCCGCGUGUAUGAAGAAGGCCUUCGGGUUGUAAAGUACUUUCAGCGGGGAGGAAGGCGACGGGGUUAAUAACCCUGUCGAUUGACAAUACCCGCAGAAGAAGCACCGGCUAACUCCGUGCCAGCAGCCGCGGUAAUACGGAGGGUGCAAGCGUUAAUCGGAAUUACUGGGCGUAAAGCGCACGCAGGCGGUCUGUUAAGUCAGAUGUGAAAUCCCCGGGCUUAACCUGGGAACUGCAUUUGAAACUGGCAGGCUUGAGUCUUGUAGAGGGGGGUAGAAUUCCAGGUGUAGCGGUGAAAUGCGUAGAGAUCUGGAGGAAUACCGGUGGCGAAGGCGGCCCCCUGGACAAAGACUGACGCUCAGGUGCGAAAGCCUGGGGAGCAAACAUGAUUAGAUACCCUGGUAGUCCACGCCGUAAACGA